rnacentral:rRNA from 1 species
GACGAACGCUGGCGGCGUGCUUAACACAUGCAAGUCGAACGGUGAAGCCCUUCGGGGUGGAUCAGUGGCGAACGGGUGAGUAACACGUGAGCAACCUGCCCCUGGCUCUGGGACAACCACUGGAAACGGUGGCUAAUACCGGAUACGACCCGCCUCGGCAUCGAGUGUGGGUGGAAAGUUUUUCGGCUGGGGAUGGGCUCGCGGCCUAUCAGCUUGUUGGUGAGGUGAAGGCUCACCAAGGCGACGACGGGUAGCCGGCCUGAGAGGGCGACCGGCCACACUGGGACUGAGACACGGCCCAGACUCCUACGGGAGGCAGCAGUGGGGAAUAUUGCACAAUGGGCGAAAGCCUGAUGCAGCGAUGCCGCGUGAGGGAUGACGGCCUUCGGGUUGUAAACCUCUUUCAGCUCCGAAGAAGCGAAAGUGACGGUAGGAGCAGAAGAAGCACCGGCUAACUACGUG